CCAAUAGCGUAUAUUAAAGUUGUUGCAGUUAAAAAGCUCGUAGUUGAAUUUCGGGAUCAAUAUGUCGGUCGUGCCUUCGGUACGUACUGGCGUUAUUGGUUUCUCCCUUCUGAUGAACCAUGAUGUCAUUAAUUUGGUGUUGUGGGGAAUCAGGACUGUUACUUUGAAAAAAUUAGAGUGUUUAAAGCAGGCUCACGCUUGAAUACAUUAGCAUGGAAUAAUGAAAUAGGACGUUUGAUUCUAUUUUGUUGGUUUCUAGGAUCGACGUAAUGAUUAAUAGGGAUAGUUGGGGGCAUUAGUAUUCAAUUGUCAGAGGUGAAAUUCUUGGAUUUAUUGAAGACUAACUACUGCGAAAGCAUUUGCCAAGGAUGUUUUCAUUAAUCAAGAACGAAAGUUAGGGGAUCGAAGACGAUCAGAUACCGUCGUAGUCUUAACCAUAAACUAUGCCGACUAGGGAUCGGAUGAUGUUAAUUUUUUAAUGACUCAUUCGGCGCCUUACG
rnacentral:rRNA from 1 species